GUGCGAGGUUAUCUGGGAGCAGAGCGGGACAGAUGACAAGCCUGUCGGACCGUUGCGGUAUUUCAUUAAGAACACUGCACGAAAGAUGCGGCGGUUAGCCAGCUUGCUAGGUUGCCGGGAAGCCGAAAUCGCUACAUCUUCCUCUUCAGAAGAGCGGGAGAUUCCUGAGGACGAGCUAAUUCUGAGUCAAGGCAUACUUCCAAAGCGUACCUCGAAGCAAGCCCCACGGUCAGCUUACCAGUUGAAGCCAAGGGGCAAGGGUCCAAACCGGUACACUCCAGAAGAUUAUGUCAACCGAGGAAAGAAGGUUGUCACUGA